GAGGGCUGCGGAAGAAUCAUCAAGAGAUGUUAAUGGUUUUAUUCCAGAAGAUGAACCCAAGAGAAAAUGGUUUGGCGUUAACACGGCUUCUUCCUCACUAUCAACCGAUACAUGUGUUAGUGGGCGAGAGUUGAUAAUGUUUUCUACUUCAAUUAACCAAUUGGCGAAAACGGUAUCUGUCGGUGUUUUGGUAAAUUGCAUGCCGGAGAGGGUGCGUUUAACUGAUUGGAUUAAUCUCUCCCAUGCACCACCGAAAUGUGGUGCUCCGGGGGGGUUGAAUAUCCACGUCGUAUCGGGGAGGUACAUUUCAUCUAUCAGCUCCUCGGUGUUUAUCUGCUUCGCCGCAUCUUUCAACUCACGAUCAGCGCCAACGAAAUUAGUCCCACGAUCAGUUCUGAUUUCAAUCGGAGUCCCUCUACGUGCGAUAAAAUUGCGAAUAGCGAUGAUGCAAGCGCUGGUGUUCAAGCUGUGAGCCACCUCUAUGUGUAUGGCCCGUAUUGUUAGACACGUGAACAGCACACCCCAGCGCUUUUCCUGUCUCCGUCCAACAGCGACCAAAAAGGGUCCGAAGUAAUCUAUCCCUGUGUAGGAGAACGGUCUGGCGUACGGCGACACUCGAGCUAACGGCAACUCAUUCAUCACUGGAGGUUUAGGUGGUACUCCGUUACAAUCAGAUCGGUGAGCCAGGAUUUUUUGGGAAGAAUAAUUGGCCUCUUCAUGUCAUGGCUUGCGUAACGACAAGCAUCGAUUCUUCCUCGUACUCAUCCCUUUGUACCUGAUUUGUCAUGCAGAAGUAGCUGAUAUUCUUCUGGAAACUCUAAUCGUUGCGCUUCCUUGAUGAUCGAUUGCUCAGCUUGUUGUAGCUCGAGAUGCGAAAGGGGUCCAAAAUAUCGAGACAUUUUUGGCAGACGAGAAUUAUUGAUGUACCUCCACAUGUAGGCGAUGGCUCGAUGCAGGCGUUUCCAAUCAGAAAAUCUGUCAAAGAUAAUUACUGGGGAUAAUUCACGAUGAUAUGAAACCGUCUGGCGUAACUCUUCCUCAGUAGUUGAAGGUCUGAAGCUUUGCACUUGCCACUCGUUUUCCGGUUGCUGUAGGAACGCUGGUCCUUUAAACCACAUUCCGGUCGUGCAGUGUCGGUUAAGGUUGGACCAUUUUGUACCUUCGUCGGCUACGUUGUUUUUAGUCGGCACCCACUGCCAUUCCUUUACUGACGAGUUUUCUAAUAUUUCGCCUACUCGAUGAGCUACGUAGACGCUAUAAUUUCGAUGAUCCGAGUUGAGCCAACACAAAACGUCUUUUGAAUCGGUCCACAAGAAGCGUCUAUGGAUCUUUAUCCGGUGUGAUUGAUGAAUACCUGUCAUCAGUCUAACUCCCAAUACUGCAGCUUGCAGCUCUAAUCGGGGAAUCGAUGUAUAUUUUAACGGAGCUACUCGAGUUUUUGCGCCGAUCAACACAACUUCCCGUUGAUCUUCGGAUUCGAAUCGGAAGUACGCCACGGCUGCGAAACCGUCUCUCCCGGCGUCUACAAAAAUAUGAAGCUGUGUCGUGCAGUUCUCUAAGCUGAUGGACGUGCGGUAACAUCGCGGAAUCUUGAUAGAUUGCAGAUGGGGUAUGCAAGUUAACCACUCCUUCCAUUUGUCUUGCAGAGAACUGGGUAUUUGAUCGUCCCACCCAAUUCCAGAACGCCAAACUUCUUGCAAUAAGACUUUGAGGAACAGUAAAAAGCCUGCUAUCAAGCCUAACGGAUCGUAGAUUGUCAUAAGCGUGCUCAGUACUUGCCGUUUGGUUGGUAUCACGAUCCCUUGUAGAACAUCUACAUCCUUUAACGGCACUUUGAAUUGGAAC